ACGGGAGGCAGCAGUGGGGAAUCUUCCGCAAUGGGCGCAAGCCUGACGGAGCAACGCCGCGUGAGUGAAGAAGGCCUUCGGGUCGUAAAGCUCUGUUGAGAGGGACGAAUGAUAAUGUCAGGAAAUGGGCAUUAGAGGACGGUACCUUUCGAGGAAGCCACGGCUAACUACGUGCCAGCAGCCGCGGUAAUACGUAAGUUGCGAGCGUUGUCCGGAAUUAUUGGGCGUAAAGGGAGCGCAGGUGGGAAUUCAAGUCAGUCUUAAAAGUGCGGGGCUCAACCCCGUGAUGGGAUUGAAACUGUAGUUCUUGAGUGCAGGAGAGGACAGCGGAAUUCCUAGUGUAGCGGUGAAAUGCGUAGAUAUUAGGAGGAACACCAGUGGCGAAGGCGGCUUUCUGGAAUGUAACUGACACUGAGGCUCGAAAGCGUGGGGAGCGAACAGGAUUAGAUACCCUGGUA
rnacentral:rRNA from 1 species